AUGAGCAUUCCUGUUGCUCUAGGGCCUUGUCAGCUUUUGCGUUUGUCAGUGGUUUGGAUUUUAGCCAUUCUAAUAGGUAUCUUGUGGUAUCUCAUUAUUAUUUUACUUUGCAGUUCCCCAACUGCCAACAUCCGCUGGAUUAUGGAAAAAGCAAGAGAGUUCCAGAGAAACAUCUAUUUCUGCUUUAUUGACUAUGCCAAAGCCUUUGACUGUGUGGAUCACAAUAAACUGUGGAAAAUUAUGAAAGAGAUGGGAAUACCAGACCACCUAACCUGCCUCUUGAGAAAUCUGUAUACAGGUCAGGAAGCAGCAGUUAGAGCUGGACAUGGAACAACAGACUGGUUCCAAAUAGGAAAAGAAAUACGACAAGGCUGUAUAUUGUCACCCUGCUUAUUUAACUUCUAUGCAGAGUACAUCAUGAGAAACGCUGGGCUGGAAGAAGCACAAGCUAGAAUCAAGAUUGCCAGGAGAAAUAUCAAUAACCUCAGAUAUGCAGAUGACACCACCCUUAUGGCAGAAAGUGAAGAGGAACUAAAAAGCCUCUUGAUGAAAGUGAAAGAGGAGAGUGAAAAAGUUGGCUUAAAGCUCAACAUUCAGAAAAUGAAGAUUAUGGCAUCUGGUCCCAUCACUUCAUGGGAAAUAGAUGGGGAAACAGUGGAAACGGUGUCAGACUUUAUUUUGAGGGGCUCCAGAAUCACUGCAGAUGGUGAUUGCAGCUGUGAAAUUAAAAGAUGCUUACUCCUUAGAAGGAAAGUUAUGACCAACCUAGAUAGCAUAUUCAAAAGCAGAAACAUUACUUUGCCAACAAAGAUCCGUCUAGUCAAGGCUAUGGUUUUUCCAGUGGUCAUCUAUGGAUGUGAGAGUUGGACUGUGAAGAAGGCUGAGCGCCGAAGAAUUGAUGCUUUUGAACUGUGGUGUUGGAGAAGACUCUUGAGAGUCCCUUGGACUGCAAGGAGAUCCAACCAGUCCAUUCUGAAGGAGAUCAGUCCUGAGUGUUCAUUGGAAGGACUGAUGUUGAAGCUGAAACUCCAAUACUUUGGCCACCUGAUGUGA
rnacentral:lncRNA from 1 species